rnacentral:rRNA from 1 species
UAACACGGGGGGAGCAAGCGUUGUUCGGAAUCACUGGGCGUAAAGGGCGUGUAGGCGGUCAAGUAAGUGGAAUGUGAAAUGCCCCGGCUCACCCGGGGACCGGCAUCCCAAACUGCUUGGCUUGAGUAUGGGAGAGGAUGAGGGAAUUCCUGGUGUAGCGGUGAAAUGCGUAGAUAUCAGGAGGAACACCGGUGGCGAAGGCGCUCAUCUGGCCCAAUACUGACGCUGAUGCGCGAAAGCUAGGGGAGCAAACGGGAUUAGAUACCCCGGUAGUCCUAGCCGUAAACGGUGAUCACUAGGUGUUGGAGGCAUCGACCCCUCCAGUGCCGCAGCUAACGCAUUAAGUGAUCCGCCUGGGGAGUACGGCCGCAAGGUU